AGCUACAGACCAUCUGAACCCAGAGUGUUUCAAGUCCAGAACAACUCCCUCUUCCUUUGGGCUGGUUUCUGAUGAACCUUCUACAUCUGCUUUAAGAGGCGUGAAGUUAAUUUUCCUGUGAGUAGCAACAGCUGAGAACCUCAGAUUCGGUUUGCUAGAGGACAAACUAUGGAGGCACGUUUCAUUAUCAGCAUUUGUCUGUUUAUUCACCUGGGUGCUGUGCUGGGGGACUCGGUCCAGUCCAGGGAACCCCAUCUCUCCGGAGGAGAAGGCGACGCUGUGACCCUCAUUUGUUCUUAUGAUACCAGCUCUACCGGCUACGUCUAUCUCUUCUGGUACCGUCAGUUUCCCAACCAAGCCCCGCGGUACAUUCUCUGGAGAGGAGCGAAGCAGGCCAGAGGUGAGAGUGAUACCGCAGAUUUCGCCAAGAAGAGAUUUUCUUCCCAGGCGGAUGACAGCUCCACAGCUCUGAGCAUCACAGCCCUGGAGCUGGCAGACACGGCGGUGUAUUACUGCGCCCUGCGUGUGGCACAGUGACAGAGUCACAUAGGAGAGCCGCACAAAAACCCUCCCUUCCCCGCUACACUAGAUUUUCAGAGAUUAAUCCUGUUUGCAGAUCUCCGGAGGGGACUCCUUCCACUCUGUACAACCGCAUAUUUUGGGAUGACUAGGGGACAUCAAUUUAUUUGUUCUAGCUCCUCCCAAGAGUCAAGUACUUAUUUAAAGUGCUACAUUCAAGUGUCACACUUGGAGAAUGUAAAGGGCACGAGCUUAAAUCAUGAAACAUCUUAGACAUUUUUCUCCACAGUUCUCCAGCGGGCCUCUCCGUGUGUAGUGUGGGACCAAAACGAAAAAGAAAAAAGAAAAAACCCAACAAAAAAACAA